AUAUGUGCCUAUGACGUCACACUAUGGCAACGCCACACAAACCAUGUUGGGACCCAUUUUUUGUAAGAACUAAAUUAAUAUCAGAUUCUGCCAAUUAAAGGGCUCUAAAACAAUUCAUAUGUAAAUAUUUUGCAUAUUUAAUGCAAAAUCUAAUUUUUCUGCUUUAGUGCUGCAACAAGGUUUUAUUAAUAAUAAAUUAUUAUACCUUUUGUUUUACUACAGCAUCGGUAAGCUUCCUGUGCACAGAUUAUUAAGGAUGCUUGUUUCAGCUGUGAGAUUAGACGAUAGGAUCAAUGAAAAAAUAAGUUGUCACACACUCCAUGGAAACUUUCAGAGAAUCCACAAAUAGUGGCUUUCAAAUGGUUUUGUUACUUUUUGCAAGUUUAUAAAAGAAGCAGAUGAGACAGCAUGUCUGAUAAUUUAGUUUUUCAUCUGAUAAUAUUAGAACAUGUCAGUAAUGUCUGAGGGGCUUUUAUAAACACCAUAUAACUAACACUACUGGAGAGGGCAUGAAUUGGGGAGCCCAGUUAUUGUGGGGGUGGUGGGGGGGGGGGCAUUUUGCCUUGGCCCCCAAAAUGUCUUGAAACGGCCCUGGGUGUGUGACUGAGUUUUGAAGGUGAUCUGAAUUGUAUCAGAUGUAUAAAUAUAACAUGUGUAUAACUUAUUGUUUUUUACUGGUAAAAACGUGUAGUGGAGAUAAAUCUACCUACAUUUGACUUUUCAACACUUUGUUUCGUUUUCUUGUUUUUAUUUAACUAUUUUCCUGUCCUGUCUGUCUCUCAUCUUCCUGCAUCUCCUCUUAAUUCUUCAGAAAAUCUGUUGCCUGGAUUCUUACCUUUUCACCUCAUCAGUUACUUUUGAGCAGAUCAAAGAGAUCUCCUGACCAAAAAGCGCAGAGCGCGUUUUCGAUGCUGCGUGAGGUGACAUCACCACAGCACAGGUGAUGAGCUCCGCAGUAGCGAGCUUCAGGCACAAAUAAGACAGAAAAUAGAGAACAUGUGCGGACAUGAACGAUCGUGUGCUAAUUAUAGUUUUUUGGUUGCGCCACUUUGAGAAUGGACCGUGCGCUGGAAGCAGCUGCCUGGAUCGCUGCGCAACAAUGCGGAACCGGUUCGCAACAGCGCAAGUCUGCCGGCUCUCCCUCGCGCUGAUCUGCGGCUCUCCCUCGCGCUGAUCUGCCGGUACCGGCUCUCCCUCACGCUGAUCUGCGGCUCUCCCUCGCGCUGAUCUGCCGGCUCUCCCUCGCACUGAUCUGCGGCUCUCCCUCGCGCUGAUCUGCGGCUCUCCCUUGCGCUGAUCUGCCGGCUCUCCCUCGCGCUGAUCUGACUUGCUCUGGUCUGCGCGCAAUGGCGGGCGGGAAGGGGGGGCGCUUUUGUAAGAGUUGUGCGACACAACAAAUCGAUGACGCAAUUCGUUGCCAACGCUUUUAGUAAUCGAUUUUCAUCGAAUUUAUCGAUUCGUUGUUGCAGCCCUAGGUGGAACGCAAUACCCGAACUGAGUUAGCGGCGCCGUUACCUUGUUCGUCAUGCUGGCUCAGAUUAACGAACGCACUUUGUACUGAGGUUUCUGGAAUCAGCGCUGCUUUCAAACGUGAAUGUGAGUCCGCUCGGUGUCGUUAAUCAUUUUUACAGGGCUGACUCCGACACGUGCCGGUGAACCAACCCACCUUCAUGUCGCUAGUGUUUCACCGGGUGGUGAUGUUAGCCCCAGGCUCCGGUUUGUUAGCUUGUUAUCAGAAUCGUAGUUGCAGUUUCAUCAUCUGAGCUGCUUUUUAAGAUCUAGGUAAACUUGUUCAAUUUGGGAUUAAAACCAAACGUUUUCACAUAUUUUCCAUGUAGUUUUUUGCCAGUUCCUCUUCUGAAAGGUAGACAAUUGUUUUUCUCUUUCCCUCAGAAAAUCUUAAUUUUCUCCUAGUUUGGCCCGGCACAGUUCACUUCCCAAUUACAGCAACAGCCUUAUAUCAUAACCACAUAAGUGGAGAAAAUGCUCAGUAGCAAUGAGAGAAUUUGCUGUUGCAUUUAAGUGAUGUUAACUAUUAUUUAACAUUUAAACUUAUUUUCAGAUUUUUUAUUUAAUCAAAAAAACCUGGUAAGGGAUGUUUUUCUUUAUUUGGAGCAUCAGAAAAGUUUUAUGGUGGUGGUGAUGUUUUAAAGUCACUGAGAAACUGCAUGCAUGCAGGGGGUGCUGCUGCUGUUUGGAUCCCUGGCUGUAAUGCUCAGAACACACAAGCAGGGUCCGAAAUUAAAUUUUUUACUCACCGGCCAAGUUGGCCGGUAGAUGAUGAAAAUCUACCGGCCAAGCAUAUUUUUAACGGCCAAAAUUCUAAAUGAUUUAGAUCUACCUAAAGCAUGUUAUUCUAUAUUAUGUUGAUUCCAAACAGAGUGACAAAAUAAUUAAAACAUCAAUUAAUAAGAAAAACAACUCUUUUGUCAUUUUUACUAUUUAUUUAUUUUUAGAGAUGUUUUUAUGAACUCUUUCAUUGAAAUCUAGUCAGACUCCUUGUUUUCUCUGUCCAUGUAGUCUGGCCUCCUGCCUCUGACACCGUCUUUGUGCCAAAGCAUUACAGCCUCAUUUGGGUCAUAGUCCUUGAUCUCUGGAGAACACAGCUGCACCAUGAGAAUAUCUGAAAGUGUGUCAGGGCUAGGGUUGUCACGGUAACCGGUGUAGCGGUAAACCCCGGUAAAAAAGUUGACAAUAAUGAUAACCGUCUUGUUUUAAAAAAAAAAAAUAUUAUCUCGGUGGAUUACCGUGGCUGCGGUGUAGGCGCGGUGACCCUUACCAGCCACCGUAUCAUCUGAAGUUGCCGGCGGCACAUGCGCACUUUGUUGUUUACAACCAAAACGUUCUUUAAGCUAAAGCUGAAAUAAUGGCAGGAGGAGACGGCAGCACUUGGGACAUUUAUUAUCCCUCAAAGAAGACAAAGUCGGAAGUACGGGCAUUUUUUGGAUAUUUGAAGAAUGCCGAGGGACAGUUGUCUGUGAAAGGCAGCAACGCUACGUGGCCAUCAUAAUGUAGCCUGUCUCACGACUCCGCCAUCUCCAGUUCGCCACUUUUCACAAAAUCUUCUGGUUGCCACUGGUCCUGGUGGUUUUUCUUCCAGUUCGACAAGUUUUCUUUUGGAAGGCUGGCUGACUCCAGUUAAAAACCGCCACAUUUCACCGCUAGUUUUAACACGAAGCUAACCGCUAACUUGAUAAACUGAUUGAAUGGGAUAGGUGGAAAUGACGUUGGAUGCGGCAUUCACGUUUCGCGUACGUUUGUGUACGUUGCAUGCAGGCGGGAGGAGUAUCAGACAUCCAUGGAGGAUGACUGAUAAACAUAACUAAUUUGGUGCAAACAUUUACUCGCCAGGUGGCAGGUAGAGCUAAAAAAUUUACUCCCCAAAUGCACACAAGCUUGCAAUAUAAAGGACAACAUCUGUGCCCCUCCAGCUCGGCUGUGUGACUGCACUAACCUGUCCUGUGUGACCCUCAUCAUGUAACCCUCAUGUCCAUGCUUUCUCUGGAGGAGCAGAUAGGAAACAAGAUCUCCUGUAACUUAAAAUGAACCAAAGCUUCCUCCCAGUUUCUCUUUAAGCUGAAUUUAACAUCAGUUUAUCAUCAUGAAACAAAAGAAUAAAGUGGAACAAGAACUUCUAUCUUCUAUUUCUCUCUCCUUUUAACUUCUCUGUGUCCCUAAAUAAAAGAGACGGAUGAUUACGCUGCAGCCGCCGUCAUUGACCCUGCCCCCUCCUCAAGACCGGAUCUCCCUACAUUACAACAAGCAGUCUGACUGAGCGCUUCCAGGAGAAAUAAUAAUUAAAUUAUGAAAAUAAUAAUGCGUGUUUGGAGCAUCGGUCUGAAGGAGCGUCCUCCGUAGAGCUGAAACAACUAAUCGAUUUAAUCGAUUAUAAUCGAUUAUUAAAAUAGUUAACAACUUUUUUAGUCAUCGAUUAGUUGUUUAAUAAUCAUAUUUUACCGCAUAAAGUCUAUUUUUUACCACAAUCUGACAUCGGUUACAAGCUGUUAAAUUUGCCGCCAGUGUGUGGCAGUAAUGAGCCACUGAUCUACCAGUGGAGCCGUAGAAGAAGAAAUGAGCCAAUGGGUGCCCUCGGUUUUCAUGACGUAUCACGUUACUGACGCUCAUCUUGCUGUGAGAAAAUGGCGGAACAAGAGGAAAUACGGAAGAAAAAUAGAAGCGACAAAACUGAAGAGAAACCCCGGACAAAAACCUCACGAGUAUGGGAGCACAUUUGAGACGAAAGCAUGUGGGGGCUGAUGCAGCAGAGGAAGAGCACCGCGGUCAAGUGAGCCGUCAUUUGGAAGAGCCAGCCCGAAAAAAACAAGCAACGAUGGACAACUACAUGGGGAAGAAGACACUCACCCCCCAGCAAUUCAUACCACUUACAAACUCUAUUCUAAACAUGCUGGUAAAAGAAAUGAGGCCACUAUCCAUGGUGGAAGGAGCAGGCUUCCAGCUAAUGCUAAAAAUUAUUCUGGACUGAUAUUUUGCACUGUUUAGCUCAUUUUAUACUGCUGACUGUGUUCAUGUGCAAUAAAAUAGAUUGCAGUCAACUGCACAA